rnacentral:rRNA from 1 species
AGUGAACGCUGGCGGUAGGCCUAACACAUGCAAGUCGAACGGCAGCACAGUAAGAGCUUGCUCUUACGGGUGGCGAGUGGCGGACGGGUGAGGAAUACAUCGGAAUCUACUUUUUCGUGGGGGAUAACGUAGGGAAACUUACGCUAAUACCGCAUACGACCUACGGGUGAAAGCAGGGGAUCUUCGGAUCUUGCGCGAUUGAAUGAGCCGAUGUCGGAUUAGCUAGUUGGCGGGGUAAGGGCCCACCAAGGCGACGAUCCGUAGCUGGUCUGAGAGGAUGACCAGCCACAUUGGAACUGAGACACGGUCCAGACUCCUAUGGGAGGCAGCAGUGGGGUAUAUUGGAACAUGGGCGCAAGCCUGAUCCAGCCAUACCGUGUGGGUGAAGAAGGCCUUCGGGUUGUAAAGCCCUUUUGUUGGGAAAGAAAAGCAGCAGGUUAAUACCCCGCUGUUCUGACGGUACCCAAAGAAUAAGCACCGGCUAACUUCGUG